rnacentral:rRNA from 1 species
CCUACGGGAGGCAGCAGUGGGGAAUAUUGCACAAUGGGGGAAACCCUGAUGCAGCGACGCCGCGUGAAGGAAGAAGUCUUUCGGUAUGUAAACUUCUAUCAGCAGGGAAGAAAAUGACGGUACCUGACUAAGAAUCCCCGGCUAACUACGUGCCAGCAGCCGCGGUAAUACGGAGGGGGCAAGCGUUAUCCGGAUUUACUGGGUGUAAAGGGAGCGUAGGCGGUUUAGCAAGUCAGAAGUGAAAGCCCGGGGCUCAACUCCGGGACUGCUUUUGAAACUGUUGAACUAGAGUGCAGGAGAGGUAAGUGGAAUUCCUAGUGUAGCGGUGAAAUGCGUAGAUAUUAGGAGGAACACCAGUGGCGAAGGCGGCUUACUGGACUGUAAAUGACGCUGAGGCUCGAAAGCGUGGGGAGCAAACAGGAUUAGAUACCCGAGUAGUC